UACGUAGGGCGCAAGCGUUAUCCGGAAUUAUUGGGCGUAAAGAGCUCGUAGGCGGUUUGUCGCGUCUGCCGUGAAAGUCCGGGGCUCAACUCCGGAUCUGCGGUGGGUACGGGCAGACUAGAGUGAUGUAGGGGAGACUGGAAUUCCUGGUGUAGCGGUGAAAUGCGCAGAUAUCAGGAGGAACACCGAUGGCGAAGGCAGGUCUCUGGGCAUUAACUGACGCUGAGGAGCGAAAGCAUGGGGGCGAACAGG
rnacentral:rRNA from 1 species